GAUGAACGCUAGCGAUAGGCUUAACACAUGCAAGUCGAGGGGCAGCAUGGUCUUAGCUUGCUAAGACUGAUGGCGACCGGCGCACGGGUGCGUAACGCGUAUGCAACUUGCCUCACAGAGGGGGAUAACCCGUCGAAAGACGGACUAAUACCGCGUACACUCCAUCUUGGGCAUCCAGGGUAGAGGAAAUGAAAUUCGCUGUGAGAUAGGCAUGCGUCCCAUUAGCUAGUUGGUGAGGUAACGGCUCACCAAGGCGACGAUGGGUAGGGGAACUGAGAGGUUGAACCCCCACACUGGUACUGAGACACGGACCAGACUCCUACGGGAGGCAGCAGUGAGGAAUAUUGGUCAAUGGGCGAGAGCCUGAACCAGCCAAGUCGCGUGAAGGAUGACUGUCUUAUGGAUUGUAAACUUCUUUUAGACGGGAAUAACAAGAGUCACGUGUGACUCCCUGCAUGUACCGUAUGAAUAAGCAUCGGCUAACUCCGUG
rnacentral:rRNA from 1 species